AUCUAAAAAAUUCAACCAAUUAGAAGUUCCAGUUUUGACAUGUCAACUGAAUUUACUCAGCAAAAUUUUUUGCCGGAUCAUUCAUUUGGGCUAACAAAAUAUUUAAACGGCCCAAAUUAAGCAUAUAGCCUUCAUGUUUUUAUUGAUAUGCUUUUCCCCUUUCUUCCACGAUCUGCAUCCCUAAUUGACUUCUUUAGACUCUAACCUCUAGAUGACGAUUCAUUCACUCUUCAGAUAUUCCUCCUUCGUUAUAUAUACGAUCCGACUUACACGAUAUUUUUAAGUGUUGAUUUUGUCCGCGGAGAGGCUUCUCUGUCACUAGAUGAAACAGAUCUGAGCUUUGAGGUUAUAGAAAAUAUGGCGAGUUCAGAGGUUUCUACGAAAGGAAAUCAUCGUGGAGGAAUAGAGAACUUCUCCGCCGCUUUCGCCGGCGGCGAGGCGGAGAUAACUCAGUCUAACCGCUCUGUGGGGGCUGAGCGUGUUGUCGACCCUGAAACUGCUCUCUACAAAGAGCUCUGGCAUGCUUGUGCUGGUCCUCUCGUGACGGUCCCUCGACAAGAUGACCGUGUCUUCUACUUCCCUUAGGAACAUAUUGAGCAGGUGGAAGCAUCGAAAAACCAAGAUGGCGGAACAGUAGAUGCCUCUCUAUGAUCUUCCUUCGAAGAUCCUUUGUCGAGUCAUUAAUGUUGAUUUAAAGUGGUGCUUAUGCGCAGAUUACUCUUUUUCUGGAACCUAUUCAAGACGAGAAUGCAAUUGAGAAAGAGGCACCUCUUCCUCCGCCCCCCAGGUUCCAAGUGCAUUCUUUCUGCAAAACCUUGACUGCUUCGGACACAAGUACGCAUGGUGGAUUUUCUGUGCUUAGCCGACAUGCUGAUGAAUGUCUCCCGCCUCUGGAUAUGUCACUUCAGCCUCCUACUCAGGAGUUAGUAGCAAAAAAAUUGCAUGCAAAUGAGUGGCGUUUUAGACAUAUUUUCCGAGGUCAACAACGAAGGCAUUUGCUUCAGAGUGGGCGGAGCGUGUUUGUUAGUUCCAAGAGGCUGGUUGCAGGCGAUGCAUUUAUCUCUCUAAGUUUUGUUGGUUUUUGGUUCAUGGUAUUCUUGAUUUGUAUCUAUAUGUUUAGUUGAUCUGUAAUAUCUGGUUCUUCUGCAGGGGUGAGAAUGGGGAAUUACGUGUGGGUGUAAGGCGUGCAAUGCGACAACAGGGAAAUGCGAGAAGGAAGGCACACAGGUUACAAAGAGAACAGUUUCCUCUUCUUUGUUUCUUUACCAGGAGCGUUGAGAUCAUAUAUGAUGCAAUAUUACAUAUGGUAGCUCAGAAACAUUUCCAUGAGCUGAUCGAGAUACAAUGGUACCUACAGAUGAUGUGUGAAAAGCAACUAAAGUUACAAGAUACCAGGAGCUCUUCCUCAAUGCCUUAAUCAAAGCAAUGCAAUGGCAUGUUUACCGCAUCAAAAUUUGGUUUCAGGACAAACCGUUAACCAAACUGAAUCUGCUUUUGUAUCAGUGAAACUAAGUCCAUUUAACCUUCUUUUCUUUUUCAAUCCGAGUACAAUUAAGAAAAUAUUUAUCUUGGAAAAAUGAUUACACAUAGAAUACAGCGAAGAACCUAUAUAUUUUAGAUGUUUCUAUACUUAUAGGUGAUAUAAAGCGCAAAAGUUAGGAAUGUGUAAGAGUUUCAAUAAGAGAAAAUUUUGUUUAAACAAAGAAAGAGAAGACUACUACAAGAAAACAAAAAUAACAAGCCACCACAGAUAACCAUGAAAGUUUAGUAGAGUAACAUAUAAGGUUAUUUUCGUUUGGCUAUACAUGUUACGUGGGAAUUAGUUUAGGUGGUUUGUUGCAACUCAGAGAUACAAUAAUGCCAAAUGUGUUAUAAAAAAAUAUCGUUUCCUUGCUUUAAAGUCCAGGAACACAUAGUGAAGAUGAUUACAAAAACAACUGAAACUUUAUAUUUAUUAUAAAUAUCAAAAUAAGUCAUUGUUUUGUUUAACACAUUGUGACAUGCAUAUCUUAACUUAUAAAUAAUAUUAGUUUCAUUUACUAUACUAGGUAAUUUUCUCUUUGCAUGUACAUAAUCUAAAAUAAGCACAUACAGUAACUGAUUAAUAUUUUACUUAGUUAUAAUAUUUGUUAUUUUGGUUAGACAUGUUACUUCCAUAUAAAGUAUCUGUCUGGUUUGGUUAUUAUAGUGUAAUGGAUUGUAUAGACUUUUCUGAGAAAAAAAAAUGAACAGCAAAUUAAAUUACUCCCUUUUAGGGUAUUAGUAAUCAAAAUCAAUUUUUGGUUUCAUAAUUUCACAAAUCCAGUAACUAAAGAUCAACGAAUUAAAUAAAAUUAAUAUAUCUACAUAUUUUUACAAUCUUUUUACACUAAAUUUUAAUCCACAAUAAUAAUUUAACUAUAGCUAUAUUCUAAGAUAUUUUUCUGCUUAUAACUAAACAAAUAAAAUAGUAAAUAAUAAUAUUUUCCUAAAAUUUCAGUUUAUUUAACACAUACAACUUUAUAAAAAAAAAAAUUUAUUUAAAGCAAUUAAUAUUUUAAUUAUAUUACUUAUUAUAAUUGUAAAAAUUGAUUUAUAAUCGUAAAAUAAUAUAUUAUACAAGAUUAAAUACCAUAUAAAUACAAAAAUUAACAUGAUAUAAAUACUACAUAUAGCAAAGAAAUAUGUGAUGUCGAGAUUAAUAACAUUUUCUCAUAAUAAUCUAAACAUAUUUAACAAAAAUUAUUUCGGAUCAUAACUACGGAUUAACAAAUUCUUCAUUCAUUUCUCAUUUGUUCACCAUCUCAUACAUAUUUUAGAUAGUAAAAAAAUGUGAGUUUUAUUCAUUUCUAUUCAAUUUACUAUUUAUAUUUUUUAUAAUCUAGAUGCAAUAUAUUGUAAUAUAGAUAUCACAUACAAUGUUAUUGGUAUAAAUCUCGGGUAAAAUUUCUAGUAUUAUUAAAAGGGGAAUGAUUAAUUGCGGCGUUUUCGGUUUACCAAGACUAUAAUAUUUCUCUUUUUGUUCUAUGUUUCUCGAAAAGGUGAUGAAAUUACUUUUUUGUUUUUGUUUUGCUAGUGAUUUAUUAUGUGCGGUUUCCGAAGUUAAUAUAAAAACGGUAAAUUGUUCACCAAUCAUAAAGUUAUAUGAAAAACACAUGUUUUGGAAAAUUAAAAAAAUAAGAAUAAUUAUAUUAAAUAGUUAUUUUUAAGUUUUUAUCAUACUUCGAAAAAAAUAGCUUCAUUUUAUUUUAAAAUUUUUAAUAUUUUUUAAUAUAUUUUAAAUUUGAAAUUCUGUUUCCAAAACUCUAUCUUUUAACUCUAAAUCCUAAGUUUAUAUUAGUUAAUUCUAAGGUUAAAAUGAAUUUUUACUCUUUAAUAAAAUUUAUUUUCGUCAUUUUUCUUUUCUAAAGGUUUUUUUGUGAUAAAAAUUUAAGAAAAACUAUAGAAUUUCUAUUAUUUUUUUAUGAUUGUCUAAACUAGCUCUAAUUUAUAUCUUAAUGCUAUUUUUUUUUUAAAAAAUAGAAUGAAUUGAACCGAAAUCUAUAGAAAAGCAAGUAACUAAAUAAACAAGAAGAUACCAUUUUCAAGUUCUUGAAAGAAAUAAAUAUUUAAAGAUUUUCCAUUAAGCAAAUGGGGACAAAGACAUUUUAAAAAGGGUAUUAAGAAAAUGAUUAAGGGGCUCCACCAUAAACCCUAGAUUAACACAAAAAAGGGGGAAAAAAAGUGUUACCAAGGUCAAGAAUUUGAUUUGACCCAGGUUCUUGUUUCUUCUUUGUAUCAACACCGAGAAGCAUAGUCCUUAACUUCCCCGGAGAAAAUCCGCCGCUAGUAACCUAAACACAAAACUCAUAGAAGAAAGAAAGAGUUUAAUAUAGAACUGCUAAAGUAAACAAAGAUGAAUGAAGUGCGAUUUUGAAAAGGACGUUUUUUUUCCAAGUCCCAAAUCAACACGAAAACGACAUAAUGGAAACGAAAUCAAAAAGAGUAGCUGGCAAGUAGAAGAAAACACCAAAUCUUGCUUUCUGUUUUCCCUAAUCUCAUGCAAAACCCUAUUUCAAGAAUCGAGUAAAGCGUGAAACUGAAGCAUUUAAAGCUCACCUGGGUCUUUCCGAUUCGCUCGUAAUCCAUCGAAAGGGUAGUAGACUCUACUCAAAUCUUGAGAGAGAGACCUCUCAGUCACAAGAGAGUCCUUGGUGAUAAUGAUCGGGUAAGAAGUGAUGGAAAAGAAAAUAAUAUUCUAAAAGAUUUGGAAGAGUGCAGUGAUGGAGCUUGGAAGCUUGUGAAAGUACAGAGACUCAUACACUGUAUAUUGGUUCUUCUUCUCUAACUUUCUCUCUCUCUCUGCUUUUUCUUGUUUUUUAAGCUGACAUCGAAAGAAGGGACAUUCACAGUUAUUAUAGAGAGCCUUUAGACCAUCUUUAACGGUGAUACUUAAUGGGGUCCUUAACCUAAUUUGGUGAUUUAAUUAAAUGAAAACAAAAUUAAAAGGGGAAAGUCGAUCCUUAAUAGGUAGUUUUUGUUAACGAUUAUUAGGGUGGUUUUUAGACCACGUGUCCGCCCCACAGUUUUUAUAUUUUUAUAUUUUUCUUUUUUCUUUUUCUUUUUCUUUUUCUUUUCUUUCUUUCUUUUGUUUUCUCACCCUUUUGUGUUCUUGUUUUCUCCGGAGAACGAUCCAAACCGACGACAGACGCGACUCCAUCGGUCCACUCGACCUCUCCUCCGUCUUCUUGGUGAGAAGAUCGAUCGGUACCCACCAGGGACGACGACGCUCUCGAUCCUCACUGCUCUCGAUCCACAGACGAAGACUCUCUCGUUCCUCACCACGUCUUCUCUCGUCGCGAUCGUCCGAAGAAGGAUCGAAAUCCACGACUUGCGUCUCCUCCGUUGGUCGUAAUGGCGACUCCUCCGUCAGACGAGUGUGGCGGUCCUGUUAGAGCCGUUAGAAGAAGGACUGGAACCCACCACAAUCGACGAGUCUCUCAGUCCUCACCGCCUCUCCUCCUUCGGUUCUCGUCUUCUCCGAGUGAAGAAUGAUGCUAACCCAUCACAAACGACGGCGUCUCUUCCGUCGGUAUCGAUGCCUUCGGUUUGGUGAUCACUUCUUCAAGGUAAAGACGAUCAUAUUGUUUGUCCUAGUAUAUAGAUUUAGACUUUGCCUCUGAAUAUAAGCUAAGUGAUUGUGUUAAUUAGCCAUGUGAUUUGAGAUCUAAUUUAGUUCAUUGUUUUGUUAAGUGAUUGUGUUGAAAAGCUAGUGAUCAUGUUGAAAAGAGAUCUAAUUUAGUUCAUUAUUUUGUUAAUUAUCAAUGUGAUUUGAGCUCGCGACUGAAGAUCCUCCUACUGAAGUCACAACCCGAAGGAGUUUAUCGAGAAGCAAACACCACUUCACACUGUCGAUGAGGUACGUGAAGGUGGCGAUGGAAGAAUUGGCAAAUGAGUGGCUUAGUAUUUCUGACACAAGGUCUGCAUGGAAAGUAAAAUCACAUCAAAAGAUUAUUUCUGACCCAAGGUCUGCAUGGAAAGUAAAAUCACAGCAAAAGAUCUGGAUACAUGUAUAAAGAUUGUAUGGAGAGAGAGAGAGAAACUUCAUGGCUCUCAAACAAAUUUGGUAACGAUCAACUUUGUAACACUGAGGCCUUGAACGAUAAGGCGGCAAACAUAACGCAGUGAGGAAAGAAUAAUAUGUUACCAUUCACUAACAUUUUUUGGCUUUUACUUUAACUUAAAAAAGUAAUUAAUUUAAAAAGAAAGUGAAGUGCAGGAUGGAAACGUCGUUAAACCGCAGCUAAAAUUGGAAGAAGCUAAAGCUAUGAUUAAUCCCGAUCUUUUAAUCAGGAUUAUUAGCUUCAGUUAAAAGACGGUCUGUAGCUUUUAACUAAGAAAAACUAUGAACCAUCUCUUAAAUAAGAAAUAUAAGAGAUGUCGCUUAGCCGAAAAAUGUAAAAACAAAAAAAAUGUCAAAUCAUAA